rnacentral:tRNA from 1 species
AGUUAACGUAGCAAAGCCUGGCCCUGCUAAAGAUCUAAGCCCUUUCAACAGAGGUUCAAAUCCUCUCGUUAACU